rnacentral:rRNA from 1 species
AUGCAAGUCGAGGGGUAUUGGUUUUCGGACCAAGAGACCGGCGCACGGGUGCGUAACGCGUAUGCAAUCUACCUUUUGCAGAGGGAUAGCCCAGAGAAAUUUGGAUUAAUACCUCAUAGUAUAGCAGUUUCGCAUGAAACCACUAUUAAAGUCACAACGGCAAAAGAUGAGCAUGCGUCCCAUUAGCUAGUUGGUAAGGUAACGGCUUACCAAGGCUACGAUGGGUAGGGGUCCUGAGAGGGAGAUCCCCCACACUGGUACUGAGACACGGACCAGACUCCUACGGGAGGCAGCAGUGAGGAAUAUUGGACAAUGGGCGCAAGCCUGAUCCAGCCAUGCCGCGUGCAGGAUGACGGUCCUAUGGAUUGUAAACUGCUUUUGUACAGGAAGAAACACUCCCUCGUGAGGGAGCUUGACGGUACUGUAAGAAUAAGGAUCGGCUAACUCCGUGCCAGCAGCCGCGGUAAUACGGAGGAUCCAAGCGUUAUCCGGAAUCAUUGGGUUUAAAGGGUCCGUAGGCGGUUUAGUAAGUCAGUGGUGAAAGCCCAUCGCUCAACGGUGGAACGGCCAUUGAUACUGCUAGACUUGAAUUAUUAGGAAGUAACUAGAAUAUGUAGUGUAGCGGUGAAAUGCUUAGAGAUUACAUGGAAUACCAAUUGCGAAGGCAGGUUACUACUAAUGGAUUGACGCUGAUGGACGAAAGCGUGGGUAGCGAACAGGAUUAGAUACCCUGGUAGUCCACGCCGUAAACGAUGGAUACUAGCUGUUGGGAGCAAUCUCAGUGGCUAAGCGAAAGUGAUAAGUAUCCCACCUGGAGAGUACGUUCGCAAGAAUGAAACUCAAAGGAAUUGACGGGGGCCCGCACAAGCGGUGGAGCAUGUGGUUUAAUUCGAUGAUACGCGAGGAACCUUA